rnacentral:rRNA from 1 species
CCUACGGGUGGCAGCAGUAGGGAAUUUUCGUCAAUGGGCGCAAGCCUGAACGAGCGAUGCCGCGUGAGUGAAGAAGGCCUUCGGGUCGUAAAGCUCUGUUGCGGGGGAAAAAAGGCAGCAUCAGGAAAUGGGUGCUGACUGAUGGUGCCCCGCCAGAAAGUCACGGCUAACUACGUGCCAGCAGCCGCGGUAAUACGUAGGUGGCGAGCGUUAUCCGGAAUGAUUGGGCGUAAAGGGUGCGCAGGCCGCAUGUCAAGCGUGCUGUGAAAUGUCCGGGCUCAACCCGGGCCUUGCAGCGCGAACUGGCGUGCUUGAGUCCGCGGAAAGCAGGCGGAAUUCGUCGUGUAGCGGUGAAAUGCUUAGAUAUGACGAAGAACCCCGAUUGCGAAGGCAGCUUGCUGCAGCGGAACUGACGCUGAUGCUCGAAAGCGCGGGUAUCGAACAGGAUUAGAUACCCGUGUAGUC